CGGCGAGUGAAGCGGCAACAGCUCAGAUUUGAAAUCUGCCCUCACGGGCCGAGUUGUAAUCUGGAGAGGAUGCUUCUGGCAAGGCGCCGUCCGAGUUCCCUGGAACGGGACGCCGGAGAGGGUGAGAGCCCCGUACAGGCGGACGCCGAGCCUAUGUGAAGCUCCUUCGACGAGUCGAGUAGUUUGGGAAUGCUGCUCAAAGCGGGAGGUACAUUUCUUCUAAAGCUAAAUAUAGGCCAGAGACCGAUAGCGCACAAGUAGAGUGAUCGAAAGAUGAAAAGCACUUUGAAAAGAGGGUUAAAAAGCACGUGAAAUUGUUGAAAGGGAAGCGCCUGUGACCAGACUCGCGCCCGGCGGAUCAUCCGGCGUUCUCGCCGGUGCACUCCGCCGGGCUCGGGCCAGCAUCGGUUUUGGCGGGGGGAUAAAGGCGGCGGGGAUGUGGCUCCCUCGUGGAGUGUUAUAGCCCGUCGCUCAAUGCCCCCGCCGGGACCGAGGACCGCGCAUUUGCAAGGAUGCUGGCGUAAUGGUCACCAGCGACCCGUCUUGAAACACGGACCAAGGAGUCAAGCAUUAGGG
rnacentral:rRNA from 1 species